rnacentral:rRNA from 1 species
AGCGAACGCUGGCGGCAGGCCUAACACAUGCAAGUCGAACGAACCUUUCGGGGUUAGUGGCGGACGGGUGAGUAACACGUGGGAACGUGCCUUUAGGUUCGGAAUAACUCAGGGAAACUUGUGCUAAUACCGAAUGUGCCCUUCGGGGGAAAGAUUUAUCGCCUUUAGAGCGGCCCGCGUCUGAUUAGCUAGUUGGUUGAGGUAAUGGCUCACCAAGGCGACGAUCAGUAGCUGGUCUGAGAGGAUGAUCAGCCACAUUGGGACUGAGACACGGCCCAAACUCCUACGGGAGGCAGCAGUGGGGAAUCUUGCGCAAUGGGCGAAAGCCUGACGCAGCCAUGCCGCGUGAAUGAUGAAGGUCUUAGGAUUGUAAGAUUCUUUCACCGGGGACGAUAAUGACGGUACCCGGAGAAGAAGCCCCGGCUAACUUCGUG